GGUGGGCACGGUGGGCACGGUGGGCACAUGCCAGCCCACAGGCAGUGCCAGGGAUGGGGCAGCAGCAGGAGCAGGAGCAGCUACAGCGAUUUACCCAAUUGUGCUGCCGGGGGCCAAGGGACACUUACUUUCUCCAGCCAGGGACGUGACGAUGGCCAGGGCCAGCAGGGUCUUCAGGGCAGGCAUUCUCAGCAGUGUGCAGCGCGGGGUGUGUAGCUGCUGUUUUGUCUUAAGGUCUUACAGCUAAUCUGCUUGGGUGGCUGCAUCGGGGGCUGGGAUAAUGCCAUCUUAGCUGGGGGGACAGGACACAGCUCCCCAAGGACAUGGGCUGGGCAAUGGGAGUGGGGCACAGCGGGGACAGGCUGGGCUCUGCUCCGUGUCCUGCUGUGGAAACCAUCUCUGGGCACGGAGCCUUGUGGUGGCUUUCAAAGAUGUUGAUCAAGCCCACCUGCUCCAUCCAAAGAAAAACCCCUUUCUCGUCAUGAGUAGCAGCCAAGUUGGAGAAAACCCCUCCAGAUUUUCCAACCCACCAAAAGAGAAGUGCACGAGAACAAGUGAAAUCCCUGACAGGGCUGGGAGCCCAGUGGAACCAUUCUGCACCCCCCAGGGCUCCACACUCCCAGAAGGAUUUUCCCAAGUUCACAGAGGGCUGCCAGGGUCAGUGCAGGGAUUAGGCCAAGGAUUGUCCUGCCUGACACCCCUCUGCUGCCUCAGCUCUUGCUGCUGCCUCAGCUCACCACCAUGGCCCAGCACCAUCCCGGUGUGGUGGGAGCGGUGGGAGUCACGGGGCCAGAAAAGUCAUCCCAGGUCUGAACUUCAGAGCUCAGAAAUGCAGAUUUCAGGAACAGAUUAUAACUGUACUGACUUGAAACCAACUGCCAUGAAAACCACAUUAAUAAAGACAAGGUAGAACACAGUUCAUUCUGAAAGGUAAAGCCAACUUCUCCAAAAACUCCUCACCAACCUCACAAACACCAAGAAAGCUUUCAAGAGUGAUAAACACAGUUUUUACUCAGGCAAUGAAACAUGGAAAAAAUAUAUUAGUAAUCAUUAUAAUAAUCUCAUUUGUGUGAGUAUAACUCUUACAAAUAUUUACCUGACAUAUAAAAGGGACAUUAUGGUACAUAUAAAACCGAUGGCGAUGGCAGUCACACACAUGGCUGGAAGCAGAGGGGCAGGAGUCAAUGCAGAGGAAUUCCUGCCUGGCCACACUGGAGGCACAGGGAUCAGUAGUUGGGGGUUACUGGUUGGCACUUGGUUACAGACAGAUCUGCUGGCAAACACACACUGCAAACAGCAACACAGCAGCAGGGGCAGGGCCUGCUGCUGCAGAAAGGGCAUUAAAGUCAGGGAGGACAUCAAACACAGCCAGCUGUGACAGGGAGCUGCCACUCCUGUCCAGUGACAGGGACACCAGCACCAGCACACGAGGUGCAAACACACGCCUUCUGUUUGAUACAACUACAGCCACUGUGCAUUUAUAGAUAUGUAACUAUAACCAUAUCAGAGUUCAUAAACCAUUCCGUAGGAAUCGUCUUUGCCCAGGCUGGGGUGCGUGAGGGGAGGUGACAGGGCAGGACAGGUGAGGGGAGGUGACAGGGCAGGACAGGUGAGGGGAGGUGACACAGGACAGGUGAGGGGAGGUGACAGGGCAGGACAGGUGAGGGGAGAUGGCACAGCAGGACCGGGUGAGAGGUGGCACAGCAGGACCGGUGACACCGGGAGCAGGGACAGCAGGGGUGCAGGGCUGUGCCCCUGUUAUCACAGUGCAGCCAGGCUUUGCAGACAGCCCACGGGGAAAAGGGGCAGCAGUGACUGCUCAGGGCUCUGGGGAAGUGCCCAAACUUCUGCAAUUAUCCAUCAGCUCCAAGGGCCAGGGCAAUGCCCCAAGCAGAGACUGAGGUCAGGCUGCCUCACCUGGAGCCAAGACAGCACAAGCAACACAGCCCUGAGCAGAGCACAAAGGGAGAGCUCCACAGUCCCCACCUGGCACCUGCCUCCCACACCUGGGCACCACCAGCCUCAGCACCGUGGGUGUGCUGCGGGCAGGGCAGUGCCCCAAACCAGAAACCAGCCCUGAACCAGCCUGCCACCACCUCUGAGAGGCUGUGCAACGCUGCACUCUGCUUCCUCAAGAGAAAAAGCCAACUGCACAAGAGAUCUCUGGGUCUCAGGGGUUUGCUUCACCUGCACA